UACAGAGGGUGCAAGCGUUAAUCGGAAUUACUGGGCGUAAAGCGUGCGCAGGCGGUUUUGUAAGUCUGUCGUGAAAGCCCCGGGCUCAACCUGGGAAUUGCGAUGGAGACUGCAAGGCUUGAAUCUGGCAGAGGGGGGUAGAAUUCCACGUGUAGCAGUGAAAUGCGUAGAGAUGUGGAGGAACACCGAUGGCGAAGGCAGCCCCCUGGGUCGAGAUUGACGCUCAUGCACGAAAGCGUGGGGAGCAAACAGG
rnacentral:rRNA from 1 species